UCAUCUUCUUCUUGGAGUUCUUAUUCAGAAAGUCGAAAUAUGAGAAUAUCACGAUGAUUUUGAGAUCGCAAGAUUAAGAUUGAGAUUUGGAGGAUGGGGUAAGGACAUGAAGUUAGAAGUUCAGAAGCUCAUAUAUUACAUGCAUGUAAGGAUCGAGCUUGAGAAAUUCAAAAAAAAUUAUGUGAGUAUCAAAAAUCUAGCAAUUAAUUAGAAUCAAAGC
rnacentral:lncRNA from 1 species